ACAUCCAGAGAACUUAGCAGAGAUGCUUUGGUGCCUUCGGGAACUCUGAGACAGGUGCUGCAUGGCUGUCGUCAGCUCGUGUUGUGAAAUGUUCGGGUUAAGUCCCGNAACGAGCGCAACCCUUAUCCUUUGUUGCCAGCGGCUCGGCCGGGAACUCAAAGGAGACUGCCGGUGAUAAACCGGAGGAAGGUGGGGAUGACGUCAAGUCAUCAUGGCCCUUACGGCCAGGGCUACACACGUGCUACAAUGGCGCAUACAAAGAGAAGCGACCUCGCGAGAGCAAGCGGACCUCAUAAAGUGCGUCGUAGUCCGGAUUGGAGUCUGCAACUCGACUCCAUGAAGUCGGAAUCGCUAGUAAUCGUAGAUCGGAAUGCUACGGUGAAUACGUUCCCGGGCCUUGUACACACCGCCCGUCACACCAUGGGAGUGGGUUGCAAAAGAAGUAGGUAGCUUAACCUUCGGGAGGGCGCUUACCACUUUGUGAUUCAUGACUGGGGUGAAGUCGUAACAAGGUAGGCGUAGCGAG
rnacentral:rRNA from 1 species